UACCCUUGACAUGUAUGGAAGUCUGCUGAGAGGUGGAUGUGCCCGAAAGGGAGCCAUAACACAGGUGCUGCAUGGCUGUCGUCAGCUCGUGUCGUGAGAUGUUGGGUUAAGUCCCGCAACGAGCGCAACCCUUGUCCCUAGUUGCUACGCAAGAGCACUCCAGGGAGACUGCCGGUGACAAACCGGAGGAAGGUGGGGAUGACGUCAAGUCCUCAUGGCCCUUAUGGGUAGGGCUUCACACGUCAUACAAUGGUCGGAACAGAGGGUUGCCAAGCCGCGAGGUGGAGCCAAUCCCAGAAAACCGAUCGUAGUCCGGAUCGCACUCUGCAACUCGAGUGCGUGAAGCUGGAAUCGCUAGUAAUCGCGGAUCAGCAUGCCGCGGUGAAUACGUUCCC
rnacentral:rRNA from 1 species